rnacentral:rRNA from 1 species
UACGUAGGCAGCGAGCGUUGUUCGGAAUUACUGGGCGUAAAGAGUGUGUAGGCGGUGCUCUAAGUUCGGUGUGAAAUCUCCCGCUUAACUGGGAGGGUGCGCCGGAAACUGGAGUGCUCGAGCGUGGGAGAGGAAAGCGGAAUUCCUGGUGUAGCGGUGAAAUGCGUAGAUAUCAGGAGGAACACCUGCGGUGUAGACGGCUUUCUGGACCAUUGCUGACGCUGAGACACGAAAGCGUGGGGAUCAAACAGG